rnacentral:rRNA from 1 species
CCCUUAGAUGUUCUGGGCCGCACGCGCGCUACACUGAUUCAUGCAGCAAGUUUUGUCCUUGGCUGAUAGGCCUGGGUAAUCUUUGAACGUGAAUCGUGAUGGGGAUAGAUGAUUGCAAUUAUUCAUCUUCAACGAGGAAUUCCUAGUAAACGCAAGUCAUCAGCUUGCAUUGAUUACGUCCCUGCCCUUUGUACACACCGCCCGUCGCACCUACCGAUUGAAUGGUCCGGUGAAAUCUUCGGAUCUGAGAGAUGUCUGAUUAAUUUCGGACGCCUUUUGGAAAAGUUGCUUAAACCUUACCAUUUAGAGGAAGGUGAAGUCGUAACA